rnacentral:lncRNA from 13 species
AUGGAUCAGCUGGUCCAGGGUGGCUUCAGUCACACAGUGUCACGGCAGGCACCAGGUUCUGGGUUCCCCAGGUGUCAUGGUGCAAAGUGGCUUGGUCACUUGGUAUCACAGUCCGACAUGGCUUCGGUCACCCAGUGGCAGGUGCCAGGCUGGUUGAUCAGUUGUUGGUCACCCAGUGUCGCAGCAUGUGCCAGGCUCAGGGCUCACACAAUGUCAGCGGUCCAGGAUGGCUUCAGUCACACGGUGUCAUGGCAUGCUCUGGGCUCAGGGCUCACCCGGUGUCACAGCACAUGCCAGUCUGGCUGCUCACCUGGUGUCAUGGUGCGGGUGCUUGGUGACGGGUGUCACGGCGCUGAGGGGGGCUGUCACCAAGUGCCACGGUGUGCACCCAGUGCCAUUGCCUGGGGUAGCUGUGGUCCCCCGGUGUCACGACAUGCAAUGGCUUUGUGUCCCGGUGGUCCCUCGGUGUCACGGCUUGGGGGGUUCGGUCCCCUGGUGCCACAGGGUGUCCCUGGGUCACUGCCCACCCAGGUCACGGUGCGAGGUGGCUGUCACGACAUGUCCCCACUGUCACGGCCCACCCGGGGCACGUCUGGCCCGGGGCUCCUGCCUGCUGCCCCCGGCCCGGAUGCCUCCGCCCCCCCGGUCUCGGCCGUGCUGCGGACGGAGCGGCGGAGGAUGCUCGCUCCCUCUCUCCCCCCCCUUCCUCCCGGGGCGUUAGCGAGGCUGGCCUCGGGCCUGGACCGGGGAUGGGGUCGGAGCGUUACCGGGCCCGGUGCGGCGGCGACCGGGCAGGGCCGGGCCCAGACGAACCGAACCGAACCGAAGCGAACAGAGUCAAGCGGAGCCGAACCGAGCCGAGAGAAGCCGAACCGAGCCGACCUUAGCCAAGCGAAGCCGAAGGAAGCCGAGCGGGCCGCGCCGAACCAAGCCGGGCCGAACCGGGCCGGGCCGAACCUCCCCGAUCUGCCCCGAGCUCAGCCGAGCGGAACCGAGCCCGAGCCGACCGUAGCCGAACCUUCCCGAUCUUUCCCGAGCUCAGCCGAGCGGAGCCGAGCCCGACCCGAACGCAGCCGAACGGUUCCGACCCGGCCCGAACGCAGCCGAACCGCCCCGAUCCGCCCCGGGACGGGGUCUGGGGCAGGCCCGGUGCGCACGGCCCGUCCCCAUUGGCUGCCGCCGCUCUGCCCUCCACCAAUGGCGGCAGCGCGCGGCUUAACCCG